rnacentral:rRNA from 1 species
ACAUGCAAGUCGAACGAUGAAACCUAGCUUGCUAGGUGGAUUAGUGGCGCACGGGUGAGUAAUAUAUAGAUAACGUGCCUCUUAGUCUGGGAUAGCCAUUGGAAACGAUGAUUAAUACUGGAUACUCCUUCUCUUUAUAAUAAGAGUUGGGAAAGUUUUUCGCUAAGAGAUCGGUCUAUAUCCCAUCAGCUUGUUGGUAGUGUAAGAGACUACCAAGGCAAUGACGGGUAGCGGGUUUGAGAGGAUGAUCCGCCACACUGGUACUGAGACACGGACCAGACUCCUACGGGAGGCAGCAGUGAGGAAUAUUGCACAAUGGAGGAAACUCUGAUGCAGCAACGCCGCGUGGAGGAUGACGCAUUUCGGUGUGUAAACUCCUUUUAUAUGUCAAGAAAAUGACGGUAGCAUAUGAAUAAGCACCGGCUAACUCCGUGCCAGCAGCCGCGGUAAUACGGAGGGUGCAAGCGUUAUUCGGAAUCACUGGGCGUAAAGGACACGUAGGCGGGAAGCCAAGUCUGAUGUGAAAUCCUACAGCUUAACUGUAGAACUGCAUUGGAAACUGGUUACCUAGAGUAUGGGAGGGGGAGAUGGAAUUAGUGGUGUAGGGGUAAAAUCCGUAGAUAUCACUAGGAAUACCUAAAGCGAAGGCGAUCUCCUGGAACAUUACUGACGCUAAGGUGUGAAAGCGUGGGGAGCAAACGGGAUUAGAUACCCCGGUAGUCCACGCCCUAAACGAUGUUCACUAGUCGUCGGGAUGCUAGUCAUCUCGGUGAUGCACUUAACAGAUUAAGUGAACCGCCUGGGGAGUAC